rnacentral:lncRNA from 1 species
AUCCCCCUUCACAAUCAGUCAGAACUAUCCCCCUCAUUAGGGGCUUGAGCUGCGCGCGCGUAUGUGUGUGUGUGUGUGUGUGGGGAGGCUGAGCGGAGCCCAUUGAUUAUUUUAAUCCGCCUAUUUGUGAGUGUGUGAUCCUCGCGGCUGUACCUUCGACAGGGGAAUCGCUAAUGGGCCUCGGCGCUCCCGCCUCAGACCUCUCCCUGUCCAAUUAGCUCUCCUCCGCGCGCCGCCGCGGCGCGAGCUGCAGCGCGAGCCGCGGCCGCCGCCUCCCUCCGACCCCCACAGGCGGCACGUUCACCAAAGCCUGUAAGUCCAGAACGCCAUUAACUUCGCUUUUAAUUAACGCGCCCCUCCUCUUCCAAAAGAAUAUAGCCCGCGCCAUUCUGUCUGCAGUUGAGCUCUGCAGCAGCCUGCUUCGACUCGUAAAAGUCGGAACUUCUUAAUUUUUUUUUUUUUUGCGACAGCUGGUUCUUACCACAGUGUGUGGGUGCCGCGCGCCCAGUAGCUAAGUGUAAAAUUAGCUUUUAAUGUCUUUCAUCCUCGAGGCAACUCCUCGGCGCACACGCGUGGAGACAUUUUAGGCAACGCGGCUCUGAAGCGCUGAGACAAGAAGAAGAAAACAAAAAAAUGGAGGCAAAUCCAAAUGGUGAUGAUUUUACCUGUUUCAGGCACGUACAAACACUUGUCUGGAUUGAUUGCGGAUGCUAGGAGUUGUCACAUUUCUUGCCCACUCUGCCAAGUUAUAGACAAAGGAAAAGCCAAACAGAAAGUGAUAGAGGAUGUUAACUGUUCCUUUAAAAUGUCCACAUCUGUGCAUAGACUGAAUUUGUCACAUAUAGAGCUUGAACCAUGAUGUGCAGUAGUGGCAUGGUUGUGUCUUUAGAACAUGCAGCCUCGGGUUGUUUUGCUUCUGGGAACUACAUCAAACCUCUAUGUACAGCUACAUUAGCCUGUACAACAUGUGGCCAGUCCUUGUCCAAAUCCAGCGGUUUUUACAAGAGACAUUUUAGUUGUUGCUUGAUUUACAGCUGAAAUACAAGGUUAUUUGACUAACUAUUCAGAUAAUUACUUCAAUAAAGUACUUAAGAGCUGAAGUAAGGAGAAAAGC